rnacentral:rRNA from 1 species
AUUGAACGCUGGCGGCAGGCCUAACACAUGCAAGUCGAGCGGGGGUAGCAAUACCCUAGCGGCGAACGGGUGAGGAAUGCUUGGGAAUCUGCCUCGUAGUGGGGGAUAACAUUCCGAAAGGAACGCUAAUACCGCAUACGUCCUACGGGAGAAAGGGGGGGAUCUUCGGACCUCUCGCCAUGAGAUGAGCCCAAGCGGGAUUAGCUAGUUGGUGAGGUAAAGGCUCACCAAGGCGACGAUCCCUAGCUGGUCUGAGAGGAUGAUCAGCCACACUGGAACUGAGAAACGGUCCAGACUCCUACGGGAGGCAGCAGUGGGGAAUAUUGGACAAUGGGCGCAAGCCUGAUCCAGCCAUGCCGCGUGUGUGAAGAAGGCCUUCGGGUUGUAAAGCACUUUAAGCGAGGAGGAAGGUUCGUUACUUAAUACGUAACGGAAUUGACGUUACUCGCAGAAUAAGCACCGGCUAACUCUGUGCCAGCAGCCGCGGUAAGAC